rnacentral:rRNA from 1 species
CCCUACGGGGCGCAGCAGUGGGGAAUAUUGCACAAUGGGGAAACCCUGAUGCAGCGACGCCGCGUGAAGGAAGAAGUAUUUCGGUAUGUAAACUUCUAUCAGCAGGGAAGAAAAUGACGGUACCUGACUAAGAAGCCCCGGCUAACUACGUGCCAGCAGCCGCGGUAAUACGUAGGGGGCAAGCGUUAUCCGGAUUUACUGGGUGUAAAGGGAGCGUAGACGGCGACGCAAGUCUGAAGUGAAAGGCGGGGGCCCAACCCCCGGACUGCUUUGGAAACUGGAUGGCUGGGGGGCAGGAGAGGUAA